AAGUCUCUGCAGUCCAGCACAGAAAAUAAGCACAACCAGUUCAGUUUUCAAGUGACAGAGGAAGGAGGAGAACAAGAAGACAGAAUGAUCUAUGUUUUGCACUGUCCAUGGACGGCUGAGGUAUCUCUCAGAUUAUUUGCUGGGGACCACCAGCCUCUCUUCUCCAACUCUUGCAG